CAACAGGGAUUGCCUCAGUAACGGCGAGUGAAGCGGCAACAGCUCAAAUUUGAAAUCUGGCUCUCGGGCCCGAGUUGUAAUUUGUAGAGGAUGCUUUUGGUGAGGUGCCUUCCGAGUUCCCUGGAACGGGACGCCAUAGAGGGUGAGAGCCCCGUCUGGUUGGACGCCGAACCUCUGUAAAGCUCCUUCGACGAGUCGAGUAGUUUGGGAAUGCUGCUCUAAAUGGGAGGUAUAUGUCUUCUAAAGCUAAAUACCGGCCAGAGACCGAUAGCGCACAAGUAGAGUGAUCGAAAGAUGAAAAGAACUUUGAAAAGAGAGUUAAACAGUACGUGAAAUUGUUGAAAGGGAAGCGCUUGUGACCAGACUUGGGCUUGGUUGAUCAUCCGGGGUUCUCCCCGGUGCACUCUUCCGGCCCAGGCCAGCAUCAGUUCGCCCUGGGGGACAAAGGCUUCGGGAACGUGGCUCUCUCCGGGGAGUGUUAU
rnacentral:rRNA from 2 species